rnacentral:rRNA from 1 species
CGGGGCUGGCGCCACGCCUGAGCCCACCACCACCACACCCCUCUUCCGGUCUCCCCUCCCCUGUUUCUCCUCUGCCCGAGCUUGCCAAAGAUCAUUUCUUUCCUUCCCUUCGCCGGCCGGCGCGUCUCCAGGCUCCAGGCUGCAGUCAGCGUACCACUGCAGUUGCUCUGCAGCUCCGCGUCGGCGUCGCCCAUGGAGCUCGCGGUCAGAGCCGCAGCGGCUUCGUGCUCCUCCUCCCCGUCGCUCCAUCCCCCGCGCGUCCCCUGCCGCCUUGGCCGCAGCCCAGGCCUGCCGCUGCCGGCUCGCCGGGUGGCCGUCGCAGCGGCGGCCAUCGCCCUCGACCCGGAGAUCAAAACUGAGCUGAAUGACGCUUCAAAAACAGAGGUGUUCGCAUGCCCUGUUUGCUAUGAACCGCUGAUAAGGACAGGGCCGCCAGGCAUGAACCUGCCAGCGAUUUAUAGGUCUGGAUUCAAGUGUUCAAAAUGCAACAAGUCAUUCACCAGCAAAGAUGUCUUCUUGGAUCUCACUAUCACCUCAGGAAUGAAAGAAUACAGUGAACUCAAGCCUGCUAGAACUGAGCUGUUCAGGAGCCCGCUCGUCUCCUUUCUUUACGAGAGGGGGUGGCGUCAGAACUUCAAUCGGAGUGGCUUCCCUGGCCGCGAUGAAGAGUUCCAAAUGGCUCAAGAUUAUUUCCAAUCAGUCGCUGGUGGUAUACUCGUUGAUGUCAGCUGUGGCAGUGGCUUGUUUUCAAGGAAGUUUGCAAGCUCUGGGGCAUAUUCAGCUGUGAUUGCUUUGGACUUUUCUGAGAAUAUGCUCCGCCAAUGCUAUGACUACAUCAAACAAGAAGAAACCCCUAUGAACACAAACCUCGCACUUGUAAGGGCUGAUAUUUCAAGGCUCCCCUUUGCUUCAUGUUCAAUUGAUGCCAUUCAUGCUGGAGCCGCUAUCCACUGUUGGCCAUCCCCUUCAAAUGCGAUAGCUGAAAUCAGCCGUGUGCUGAAGCCCGGCGGUGUCUUUGUGGCGACAACCUUCUUAUCCACCCCCACGAACAGUGGCCCGCUCUCUAUUGAUGCACUAAGGCCACUGAGACAGAUUGUUGGGCCAGUGAACAGCAGCUACAACUUCUUCACGGAAGGAGAGCUGGAAGACCUGUGCAGAUCCUGUGGCCUGAUCAACUACAGCAGCAAGGUGCAGAGGUCAUUCAUCAUGUUCUCCGGGCAAAAGCCGUAGCUGGGUAUCACAUCCAGACUUUCUUUGUAUAGCCAGCCACAGUGUAUAUAUAGUAUAGCUGUGCUUUUUUUUAACGCAUGUAUAUAUAUAGCUGUUACGGUUAAAUCAGGUGGUGGAAAUGUAACUCAAACACACGUUAGGCAAUUGAACCAAAAUGCAUGGUCUCCGACUCUGAUGAACAAUAGUAGCAUUUGUUCAAGUUCAGGCAUUGAGCAAAAGUUUUACACCUGAACAAUUGUGUUGUUUAUGCAAAAUAAAUAAAAUUUAAAGUAACUGCUGAACUAUAAGCCUUUUAUCGAUAACGACCUGAACGUCUAUUAAAAUCUUCAAGGGUACAGAUUCAAUUCCUUUCUAGAGAAGAUCAAGAGGGACGUAUCCUGGUUCCAAUUUUUUAGUUUUUUUUACAGAAUGAAUGAAAUCGAAGAAUAUCAGCGCAAGCAAUCAGACCGGCUGAGUGAGUGACAGGAUAUUGUCAUCAACCAAAAUUAUUCCCAGGAUCAACAACAAACCGCACCAUACAGCAGCAAGAAAGAAACUACCCUAGC